rnacentral:rRNA from 1 species
UCGGGAAUUUUGCCCAAUGGACGAAAGUCUGAGGCAGCAACUCCGCGUGAGGGAUGACGGCCUUCGGGUUGUAAACCUCUUUUCCCAGGGAAGAUCCAAGACGGUACCUGGGGAAUAAGCCACGGCUAACUACGUGCCAGCAGCCGCGGUAAUACGUAGGUGGCGAGCGUUGUCCGGAUUUACUGGGCGUAAAGCGCGCGCAGGCGGCUGGCCAAGUCCGAUGUGAAAGCUUCCGGCUUAACUGGAAAACGGCAUCGGAUACUGGUCGGCUGGAAGGUGGGAGAGGGUAGCGGAAUUCCCGGUGUAGUGGUGAAAUGCGUAGAUAUCGGGAGGAACACCAGUGGCGAAAGCGGCUACCUGGCCCACUCUUGACGCUGAGGCGCGAAAGCUAGGGGAGCGAACGGG